GAUGAACGCUGGCGGCGUGCCUAAUACAUACAAGUCGAGCGAACAGUUGAGGAGCUUGCUCCUCUGACGUUAGCGGCGGACGGGUGAGUAACACGUGGAUAACCUACCUAUAAGACUGGGAUAACUUCGGGAAACCGGAGCUAAUACCGGAUAAUAUAUUGAACCGCAUGGUUCAAUAGUGAAAGACGGUUUUGCUGUCACUUAUAGAUGGAUCCGCGCCGCAUUAGCUAGUUGGUAAGGUAACGGCUUACCAAGGCAACGAUGCGUAGCCGACCUGAGAGGGUGAUCGGCCACACUGGAACUGAGACACGGUCCAGACUCCUACGGGAGGCAGCAGUAGGGAAUCUUCCGCAAUGGGCGAAAGCCUGACGGAGCAACGCCGCGUGAGUGAUGAAGGUCUUCGGAUCGUAAAACUCUGUUACUAGGGAAGAACAAAUGUGUAAGUAACUAUGCACGUCUUGACGGUACCUAAUCAGAAAGCCACGGCUAACUACGUG
rnacentral:rRNA from 1 species